GCGCUCCGUUCCAACCUUGGCCCCACGCGUUCUGUGCUGUAAUCGCCCUAGCGUUCUAACAGUAUUUCAGAGCUGUGUGCGCCGUCGAUGAGCUGUCAUUUCUCGUGACUGGCCCAUCACUACCCUCAGGUCCUGCCACCGGCAAUGCUACCAUGAAUGGGAAAUCCACGGCAGCUGGGCCCACCCUGGAGCCUACAGUCUAUCUCUUCUCGGGCAGGAAGGACACAGUGAUGCAAGUCUUUGUCUCUUCCGCCACGGUGGAAGCCAGAGAGGGGCAGAAUAUCCGGGAAGUGACGGUCACUGUGGACUGCUUCUACAGGGACGGCAGGACAGUCUUGAGCAGACUCAGCCGAGUUUUUCAGAAGAGGGACAUCGUCAACAUCGACUACAGUCGAACCUCGAUACAUGAAACAGCUCGAUGAUCGCGAAAUAGUUUAUUAUAGGCAGAAUCCGAUAUAUAAUAUCAUGUCAAAAAUGCGUAAAGAAAUUUUACAAAUCAAUCAAUGAGCUAACUUACUUGAAUAGAAGUAGGGGAUUUUCGGCUGCAAAUAGCAUUUCCAGUCGGAAGCUUUCCAUGGACAGUUAGACAUCAGAUUUUCCAGCUGGAAAUUGACCUUACUCCUGCCCGAAACAAGAUUUUCAAAUGAUGUUUCUGGGUGGUAAUCGCACUUUCUUUACUGGGGCUCCCCAUAACUGGCCGGAAAUAAUUUUCCAGCUGGAAACAGAACCUGCUGCAGCUAUGUGACCAGACAUUCCAAGGUGAAAUUGCCAGGAAUGGCUGGCAUAUUUAAUGUAUUUGAUAUAACCUUUUCGGCUGUCUUUACGAAUGAACCUAACCGUAGUGAAACAGGCUGUUUUCUGUUGGUUUACCUGAAA